rnacentral:tRNA from 1 species
GGCCACGUGGCGGAGUGGUGACGCAGCGGACUGCAAAUCCGUGUACGGGGGUUCGAUUCCCUCCGUGGCCUCCA